rnacentral:rRNA from 1 species
CCUACGGGCGGCUGCAGUGGGGAAUCUUGCGCAAUGGACGAAAGUCUGACGCAGCGACGCCGCGUGGGUGAUGAAGGCCUUCGGGUUGUAAAGCCCUGUGGGGAGAGACGAAUAAGCCGUGGCUAACAUCCACGGUGAUGACGGUAUCUCCUUAGCAAGCACCGGCUAACUCUGUGCCAGCAGCCGCGGUACGACAGAGGGUGCAAACGUUGUUCGGAAUUACUUGUCGUAGAGCGCAUGGGUCCGGUGUGAAAUCCCUCGGCUCAACCAAGGAAGUGCAUUCGAAACCGCAUGGCUGGAGUCCCGGAGAGGAAGGUGGAAUUCUCGGUGUAGAGGUGAAAUUCGUAGAUAUCGAGAGGAACAUCGGCGGCGAAAGCGGCCUUCUGGACGAGGACUGACGCUGAGAUGCGAAAGCGUGGGGAGCAAACAGGAUUAGAUACCCUUGUAGUC